GCUUGUAGUUUGUUAAGUAUACACACGCAAGUAAUCACAUUUACGGUGACCGAGUGCACGCACUAUUAUCGUUCGUACCCGGCCCGGACAACAGUAAUAAUAGUUAUGCUCGUUGUUCUGGUUAGAAACUACUAAAACCUGUUUAAUUUUGAAAAAGUUUUUCGAUUUCGGGUGAAUACAUUCAUAAGAAAUUGUUUUAUUUUAUGGACGUACCAUCAAAGGUAUUAAUCCCAACUGUGAAAUGUUUGCUUAAUUUUCAGGUGUUCUUACUGCUGUACUAUCUACGACCAUACUGGGCGGUGUUUACGUGAUAACCGGACUGGCGCUUUCACAGUUUUUACUGUCAGGAGGAAUAUGGCCUGUGGAAGGACAACCAGAGUUCUUAAGGAUCUUUACUCGAUUAAUGCCUAUGCGAAUAAUAGGAAACAUGAUAAACAACAUUGCAUUAAAAGGAUGGUCGCUGAGCCACCUAUCGAUCAUUAUGGAUAUAUCAAUGUCACUUCUUUAUAUUGUAAUAUUAGUAUUGCUUUUAAUUGUUUUAGGAAAAUUUAAAAAACAUUGGUGGAUCAAACAGAAGUGAACAUUGUUCUAUGUAGAUUAUAAAAUCGUUGUAAAUAUAAAUGUUAAUUUGGUACAUAAACCAAUAUAUUAUAAACAGUUAUUACCGAUACUACAUUUCCAAUGUAAUUUUACUUUUUGGUGAAAUAAUUAUUUUAAUCGUGUCUCUAAUUUGGUUUAACUACGGGUGUUGGUAAAAAUGUGAGGAAUUCAUUAAAAACAUUAUAAUGGAAACA